rnacentral:rRNA from 1 species
AGAGUUUGAUCCUGGCUCAGAUUGAACGCUGGCGGCAUGCUUUACACAUGCAAGUCGAACGGCAGCACAGGGAGCUUGCUCCCGGGUGGCGAGUGGCGCACGGGUGAGUAAUACAUCGGAACGUGUCCUAUUGUGGGGGAUAACUGCUCGAAAGGGUGGCUAAUACCGCAUGAGACCUGAGGGUGAAAGGCGGGGAUCGCAAGACCUCGCGCAAUUGGAGCGGCCGAUGCCCGAUUAGCUAGUUGGUGAGGUAAAGGCUCACCAAGGGCGACGAUCGGUAGCUGGUCUGAGAGGACGACCAGCCACACGUGGGACUGAGACACGGCCCAGACUCCGUACGGGAGCA